CAGUUCCGAUCCUUAACACAAAAUAAGUAAAAACCCUACAUUCAUUGCCUUAGAAACUCCUCUAUUUUUUUGCUCGACUCAAAGCUCGAAUGAAGGAAUCGUAUACACUUAAUUUUUUGAAUGUGCAAAAAUUUUGUCAAACAAAUAUGGAAAUAGAUCCAUAUUACGAGAAUUUUGGGAAUCGGGAGAAUUUCCACUAUCGCUGGCAGACCAGCCGGGCUGUGAGCGCUGGACAAUGAGAACUCAUGUUAUCAAGGCUGUUAUAAAUUUGCCUGUUGAAAAAAAUGUUAGACAAACAAUAGUUAAGGAGAUCCCUGGUAAUAGAAUAGAUAUCAUCGAGUUGUAUCUUAAGUAGAACUGUGACUUGGUAUUAUAAUUGUGCAUUUUUUCAUAAA